rnacentral:rRNA from 1 species
AUUGAACGCUGGCGGCAGGCCUAACACAUGCAAGUCGAGCGGAUGAAGGGAGCUUGCUCCUGGAUUCAGCGGCGGACGGGUGAGUAAUGCCUAGGAAUCUGCCUGGUAGUGGGGGAUAACGUCCGGAAACGGGCGCUAAUACCGCAUACGUCCUGAGGGAGAAAGUGGGGGAUCUUCGGACCUCACGCUAUCAGAUGAGCCUAGGUCGGAUUAGCUAGUUGGUGGGGUAAAGGCCUACCAAGGCGACGAUCCGUAACUGGUCUGAGAGGAUGAUCAGUCACACUGAGACGAAGAGGCGGUCCAGACGCGGAGGGAGGGAAGCAGUGGGGAAUAGAAGACAAUGGGCGGACGCCGGAUCGAGCCAGGCGGCGUGGGUGAUGAAUGCAUUGGGAUUGUAAAGCACUUUAGGUGGGGAGGAAGGACAUUAAGUUAAUACCUGGCUUUUGGGACUUAACCAUAAGAAAAAGCACCGCCUAACGGCGCGCAAGCAGCUGCGUUAAUGGACAAAGAGCACCGUCUGAAC